rnacentral:rRNA from 1 species
UACGAAGGGAGCUAGCGUUGUUCGGAAUCACUGGGCGUAAAGCGCACGUAGGCGGAUGUGUCAGUCAGGGGUGAAAUCCUGGGGCUCAACCUCAGAAUUGCCUCCGAUACUGGCAGUCUCGAGUGCGGGAGAGGUGAGUGGAAUUCCCAGUGUAGAGGUGAAAUUCGUAGAUAUUGGGAAGAACACCAGUGGCGAAGGCGGCUCACUGGCCCGUAACUGACGCUGAGGUGCGAAAGCGUGGGGAGCAAACAGG